rnacentral:rRNA from 1 species
UGGGACUUCGGUCCUGAUGGCGACCGGCGCACGGGUGAGUAACGCGUACACGACCUACCUUUAACUGGAGGACAGCCCUGGGAAACUGGGAUUAAUACUGCAUAAAAUUAUAAGUAAUAGAGGUUUAUAAUCAAAGCUUCGGCGGUUAAAGAUGGGUGUGCGUUCCAUUAGCUAGUUGGUAAGGUAACGGCUUACCAAGGCGACGAUGGGUAGGGGGCGUGAGAGCGUGAUCCCCCACACGGGUACUGAGACACGGACCCG